CAAUACUUUUCUAUCCAUUCAGGGCUACGGUUAUGGGGACUACUACGGACCCGCCUAUGGUCGCGGAUACGGAAAGGGUUACGGUGGAUACGGAAAGGGCUACUACGGAGGCUAUGACGGAUAUGGUCCUGGUUACUAUGGCAAGGGCGGCUAUGGAUACGGAAAAGGAUACGGGUAUCCUUACGCUGGCUACGGCUAUUACAAGCACUAAGCCAUUCCCCGCGUUUUUUAUGUCAAGUUAAUUUCGUAAUAAACAGGGUGAAUUUAUCCAA